UUUAUUGGAACUGGAAUGAAAGGCUUAACAAAUAUUAAAUUUUUUAUUUUAAAAAAUUAAAAUUUCUAAUUUACGUAAGAAUGCGUGAGUAAAUUCAAGGGACGAUAAGACCCUAAAAGCUUUAUUUUUUAUAUUUUUAUAUUAUUUUAAGUUAAUUGUUUAUUGUAUUUUGACUGGGGCGGUUGUUUUUUGUAACGAAAAUUUUUUUUUACAAAUAGGCUUAAAGAUCCUUAAAAUUAGGAUAAUUUGUUUAAGUUACUUUAGGGAUAACAGCGUUAUAAUAAUGGGGAGACCUUAUUUAUAUUAUUGAUUGCGACCUCGAUGUUGAAUUAAGUUUUCUAUAUAAAGCAGAAAUUAUAUGUGAAAGUUUGUUCAACUUUUAAAAUCUUACAUGAUCUGAGUUCAAA
rnacentral:rRNA from 1 species